GGCGGUGUAGCUCAGAUGGUGAGAGCAUGCGGUUCAUACCCGCAGGGUCAGUGGUUCAAAUCCACUCACCGCCACCA
rnacentral:tRNA from 2 species